AGCGUACACGGUGGAUGCCCUGGCAGUCAGAGGCGAUGAAGGACGUGCUAAUCUGCGAUAAGCGUCGGUAAGGUGAUAUGAACCGUUAUAACCGGCGAUUUCCGAAUGGGGAAACCCAGUGUGAUUCGUCACACUAUCAUUAACUGAAUCCAUAGGUUAAUGAGGCGAACCGGGGGAACUGAAACAUCUAAGUACCCCGAGGAAAAGAAAUCAACCGAGAUUCCCCCAGUAGCGGCGAGCGAACGGGGAGGAGCCCAGAGCCUGAAUCAGUGUGUGUGUUAGUGGAAGCGUCUGGAAAGGCGCGCGAUACAGGGUGACAGCCCCGUACACAAAAAUGCACAUACUGUGAGCUCGAUGAGUAGGGCGGGACACGUGGUAUCCUGUCUGAAUAUGGGGGGACCAUCCUCCAAGGCUAAAUACUCCUGACUGACCGAUAGUGAACCAGUACCGUGAGGGAAAGGCGAAAAGAACCCCGGCGAGGGGAGUGAAAAAGAACCUGAAACCGUGUACGUACAAGCAGUGGGAGCCUCUUUAUGGGGUGACUGCGUACCUUUUGUAUAAUGGGUCAGCGACUUAUAUUCUGUAGCAAGGUUAACCGAAUAGGGGAGCCGAAGGGAAACCGAGUCUUAACUGGGCGUUAAGUUGCAGGGUAUAGACCCGAAACCCGGUGAUCUAGCCAUGGGCAGGUUGAAGGUUGGGUAACACUAACUGGAGGACCGAACCGACUAAUGUUGAAAAAUUAGCGGAUGACUUGUGGCUGGGGGUGAAAGGCCAAUCAAACCGGGAGAUAGCUGGUUCUCCCCGAAAGCUAUUUAGGUAGCGCCUCGUGAAUUCAUCUCCGGGGGUAGAGCACUGUUUCGGCAAGGGGGUCAUCCCGACUUACCAACCCGAUGCAAACUGCGAAUACCGGAGAAUGUUAUCACGGGAGACACACGGCGGGUGCUAACGUCCGUCGUGAAGAGGGAAACAACCCAGACCGCCAGCUAAGGUCCCAAAGUCAUGGUUAAGUGGGAAACGAUGUGGGAAGGCCCAGACAGCCAGGAUGUUGGCUUAGAAGCAGCCAUCAUUUAAAGAAAGCGUAAUAGCUCACUGGUCGAGUCGGCCUGCGCGGAAGAUGUAACGGGGCUAAACCAUGCACCGAAGCUGCGGCAGCGACACUAUGUGUUGUUGGGUAGGGGAGCGUUCUGUAAGCCUGUGAAGGUGUACUGUGAGGUAUGCUGGAGGUAUCAGAAGUGCGAAUGCUGACAUAAGUAACGAUAAAGCGGGUGAAAAGCCCGCUCGCCGGAAGACCAAGGGUUCCUGUCCAACGUUAAUCGGGGCAGGGUGAGUCGACCCCUAAGGCGAGGCCGAAAGGCGUAGUCGAUGGGAAACAGGUUAAUAUUCCUGUACUUGGUGUUACUGCGAAGGGGGGACGGAGAAGGCUAUGUUGGCCGGGCGACGGUUGUCCCGGUUUAAGCGUGUAGGCUGGUUUUCCAGGCAAAUCCGGAAAAUCAAGGCUGAGGCGUGAUGACGAGGCACUACGGUGCUGAAGCAACAAAUGCCCUGCUUCCAGGAAAAGCCUCUAAGCAUCAGGUAACAUCAAAUCGUACCCCAAACCGACACAGGUGGUCAGGUAGAGAAUACCAAGGCGCUUGAGAGAACUCGGGUGAAGGAACUAGGCAAAAUGGUGCCGUAACUUCGGGAGAAGGCACGCUGAUAUGUAGGUGAAGCGACUUGCUCGUGGAGCUGAAAUCAGUCGAAGAUACCAGCUGGCUGCAACUGUUUAUUAAAAACACAGCACUGUGCAAACACGAAAGUGGACGUAUACGGUGUGACGCCUGCCCGGUGCCGGAAGGUUAAUUGAUGGGGUUAGCGGUAACGCGAAGCUCUUGAUCGAAGCCCCGGUAAACGGCGGCCGUAACUAUAACGGUCCUAAGGUAGCGAAAUUCCUUGUCGGGUAAGUUCCGACCUGCACGAAUGGCGUAAUGAUGGCCAGGCUGUCUCCACCCGAGACUCAGUGAAAUUGAACUCGCUGUGAAGAUGCAGUGUACCCGCGGCAAGACGGAAAGACCCCGUGAACCUUUACUAUAGCUUGACACUGAACAUUGAGCCUUGAUGUGUAGGAUAGGUGGGAGGCUUUGAAGUGUGGACGCCAGUCUGCAUGGAGCCGGCCUUGAAAUACCACCCUUUAAUGUUUGAUGUUCUAACGUUGGCCCCUGACCGGGGUUGCGGACAGUGUCUGGUGGGUAGUUUGACUGGGGCGGUCUCCUCCUAAAGAGUAACGGAGGAGCACGAAGGUUGGCUAAUCCUGGUCGGACAUCAGGAGGUUAGUGCAAUGGCAUAAGCCAGCUUGACUGCGAGCGUGACGGCGCGAGCAGGUGCGAAAGCAGGUCAUAGUGAUCCGGUGGUUCUGAAUGGAAGGGCCAUCGCUCAACGGAUAAAAGGUACUCCGGGGAUAACAGGCUGAUACCGCCCAAGAGUUCAUAUCGACGGCGGUGUUUGGCACCUCGAUGUCGGCUCAUCACAUCCUGGGGCUGAAGUAGGUCCCAAGGGUAUGGCUGUUCGCCAUUUAAAGUGGUACGCGAGCUGGGUUUAGAACGUCGUGAGACAGUUCGGUCCCUAUCUGCCGUGGGCGCUGGAGAACUGAGGGGGGCUGCUCCUAGUACGAGAGGACCGGAGUGGACGCAUCACUGGUGUUCGGGUUGUCAUGCCAAUGGCACUGCCCGGUAGCUAAAUGCGGAAGAGAUAAGUGCUGAAAGCAUCUAAGCACGAAACUUGCCCCGAGAUGAGUUCUCCCUGACUCCUUGA
rnacentral:rRNA from 1 species